rnacentral:rRNA from 1 species
GUCAUAUGCUGUYUCAAAGAUAAGCCAUGCAUGUCUCAGUACAAGCCAAAUUAAGGUGAAACCGCGAAAGGCUCAUUAAAUCAGUUAUGGUUCCUUAGAUCGUACCCACAAUUACUUGGAUAACUGUGGUAAUUCUAGAGCUAAUACAUGCAAACAGAGCUCCGACCGGAGACGGAAGGAGUGCUUUUAUUAGAUCAAAACCAAUCGGUGGCGGGUUCGCUCGUCAUCGUACAACUUGGUGACUCUGAAUAACUUUACGCUGAUCGCACGGUCAUCGCACCGGCGACGCAUCUUUCAAAUGUCUGCCUUAUCAACUGUCGAUGGUAGGUUCUGCGCCUACCAUGGUUGUAACGGGUAACGGGGAAUCAGGGUUCGAUUCCGGAGAGGGAGCCUGAGAAACGGCUACCACAUCCAAGGAAGGCAGCAGGCGCGCAAAUUACCCACUCCCGGCACGGGGAGGUAGUGACGAAAAAUAACGAUACGGGACUCAUCCGAGGCCCCGUAAUCGGAAUGAGUACACUCUAAACCCUUUAACGAGGAUCAAUUGGAGGGCAAGUCUGGUGCCAGCAGCCGCGGUAAUUCCAGCUCCAAUAGCGUAUAUUAAAGUUGUUGCGGUUAAAAAGCUCGUAGUCGAAUUUGUGUCUCGCGCCGCCGGUUCAUCGUCCGCGGUGUUAACUGGCGAGUCGCGAGACGUCCUGCCGGUGGGCUUAGCUCGCGAGGGCGGCCCAACUCAAUCCUGCCGCGGUGCUCUUCAUUGAGUGUCGAGGUGGGCCGGCACGUUUACUUUGAACAAAUUAGAGUGCUUAAAGCAGGCUAAAACUUCGCCUGAAUACUGUGUGCAUGGAAUAAUGGAAUAGGACCUCGGUUCUAUUUUGUUGGUUUUCGGAACCCCGAGGUAAUGAUUAAUAGGAACGGAUGGGGGCAUUCGUAUUGCGACGUUAGAGGUGAAAUUCUUGGAUCGUCGC